CCAGCAUGGCCUCCCAGCAGCAGCUCCGUGCGGUGGCAGAUACAGUGCAGUGCCACAAAAAAUCCGAAAAGGACAAGGUUCACAGACGGUGUAAUUCCUGCAAGCUUGUGGAGGAGAAGGAGGAGAUCUGGAUGGCGGAAGGAGUAUGGCUGGGGCAGGAGUUGGAGCCCAGAGUGUGCCUCCCUCUUGGAUUUCUCUUGGCUGUGCCCUGGUGGAGCCUGUCUGCAACAUUUCCUCCAUCACACGCUUUUCAACAGCCUCAGGUCCUCACCUGAAGUCACCUUUGUUCAGCAGUCUAUGGUCCCUGGCAGGAGCUGCUACAGGACUGGACAGGACAGGACAGUGACCGCAUUUGCCUCCAGAAUAUACACACUUCAGAUAAGCCUGAUAAAACUGGCUCUGUGUAGUAGUGGGCUUUACCCUGCCUCUUAUGUGUAGGGGAUUAUUUUAUCCAGUCUUAAUAUCUAGUCUUCGCUUCAUGAUCUCACACAAAGAAAUCAAUGUCAACGUGAUGGAAAAAAAAAAAUCUUGACUUUUUUGCAAACCAGUCCUGUGCA